rnacentral:rRNA from 1 species
AGGACGAACGCUGGCGGCGUGCUUAACACAUGCAAGUCGAGCGGAAAGGCCCUUCGGGGUACUCGAGCGGCGAACGGGUGAGUAACACGUGAGCAAUCUGCCCUUAGCUUCGGGAUAGCCCCGGGAAACCGGGAUUAAUACCGAAUACGACCUCGGCCGACAUCGGCCUUGGUGGAAAGUUUUUCGGCUAGGGAUGGACUCGCGGCCUAUCAGCUAGUUGGUGGGGUAAUGGCCUACCAAGGCGACGACGGGUAG